CGUUCCAUCUGGAGAAUCUGGAGACAGUGGCUGCAUGGCUGUCGUCAGCUCGUGUCGUGAGAUGUUGGGUUAAGUCCCGCAACGAGCGCAACCCUUGCCUUUAGUUGCCAGCAGUUCGGCUGGGCACUCUAAAGGGACUGCCGGUGUUAAACCGGAGGAAGGUGGGGAUGACGUCAAGUCCUCAUGGCCUUUAUGACCAGGGCUACACACGUACUACAAUGGCCGAUACAAAGGGCAGCGACACUGCGAGGUGAAGCCAAUCCCGUAAAAUCGGUCUCAGUCCGGAUUGGAGUCUGCAACUCGACUCCAUGAAGUUGGAAUCGCUAGUAAUCGUGGAUCAGCAUGCCACGGUGAAUACGUUCCCGGGCCUU
rnacentral:rRNA from 1 species